CAGAGAGCAAACUUCCUGGCUUAAGAGAGGCUGCUGUGUGCUGUGCGCUGAAAGGAGCGAGCAGCCAUCAAUGCAGCCUCCAUAGUCCUGCCCACGCUGCCCAUCAAGAUAACGAGACCAGGGGGAGAGGGGUCAGCAUCGCUUUCAUCGGAGCUGCAUUCAUUUAGCGCUAAUCCCAGCCAUGAGCAGAGCCGUUCCCUUUCCGGACUUAACUGCCUGGACAGCAUCGCCACGCGUGGAGCUUGGAGAAAUCGAAUCUACCGUGAGCCAGAUCCAGAGCCUCAGAGGUGCUCUGCGUCCGACGUACCUGGAGAGAGCGCUGAAUUGUGCAUCUCGAACGAGCCUCCAGGUGGUACUGAGGCCGCUGUCUCCCUGACCA